UGUGCAGGCGGUUGUUUAAGUUCGGUGUGAAAUCUCCCGGCUCAACUGGGAGGGUGCGCCGAAUACUGAAUGACUAGAGUGCGGGAGAGGAAAGUGGAAUUCCUGGUGUAGCGGUGAAAUGCGUAGAUAUCAGGGGGAACACCGGUGGUGUAGACGGCUUUCUGGACCGUAACUGACGCUGAGACACGAAAGCGUGGGUAGCAAACAGGAUUAGAUACCCUGGUAGUCCACGCCCUAAACGAUGCAUAUUUGGUGUGGGUCAUUCAGUUGAUCCGUGCCGGAGCUAACGCGUUAAAUAUGCCGCCUGGGGAGUACAGUCGCAAGGCUGAA
rnacentral:rRNA from 1 species